rnacentral:rRNA from 1 species
UACGUAGGGCGCGAGCGUUGUCCGGAAUCAUUGGGCGUAAAGAGCUCGUAGGCGGUCUGUUACGUCUGCUGUGAAAACCCGGGGCUUAACCCUGGGCUUGCAGUGGAUACGGGCAGACUAGAGGCAGGUAGGGGAGAAUGGAAUUCCCGGUGUAGCGGUGAAAUGCGUAGAUAUUGGGAGGAACACCGGUGGCGAAGGCGGCCCCCUGGACCGGUACUGACGCUGAGGCGCGAAAGCGUGGGGAGCAAACAGG